rnacentral:tRNA from 1 species
AAUGUAGAGCCUGUGGAAAGGAUUAUUUUGAUAGGAUAAAAAACGUAAAAUCUUUACCUACAUUA